UUGAAUUAGAAUCUAUAAAUAUCAAGUUCAAAUUAUUUGUUUUUUCUGUUCUCGCUGAUUAUUUGAUUUUUACCAAAUUGUUUACAAUUACAGACGCUUUAGUAGCCAAGCUGGUUGCUUGGCUCAGUUGGCUGGUGUCGGGAAGAUGACGACUGGGGCGCUGACGUCAGCCAAUCAUUUUUAUAGCGGCUUAUUUAAAUUUCAGAUCAUAUGAUGGCGAAGACAGACUUUACUUACUGUGCAGGAGAAUUUGUUAUUAUUAUAAAAAAGGUGGUUGCGGCCGUCACAUAUUUGCCAAAGGUGUCGUCCGACCUGUAGUCAGUGGUUGACAAAAUCGCAACUUUGGCUUGUUGCAAAACUUUGAAGGGGGAAGUGGAUCUGGAAUUCAAUAAUGGAAAGUAGGUUAAAUCAAUAAUGAUUUGGUAUUUUCAUUCUUCCAUGGCAACUAUAUAAUUCCCCAUCCCAACAUAAUGGCAUCACGUGUCGGUCGGGGUCUGCAUUGGCAGACCAGUAGGUGCAACAGUCCUGGAAAUCAACCACGGGAGAAAGUCCAGUACGACGGUGGCGAUGUCGUUGGCCUAGUCAAAAGUGUCAAAAUUGAAUCAAGUGUCAAAAAUGGGUCGUUUAUGUUUGUUGGUUUUUCUAUUCACAUGGAUUGAUCAAAUGUCGAUGUUGAUCAAUGUUGAUAAAUAAAUACUAUAUCUAACUAGAAAUCAUUGAGCUCUAAAUAUACCUGAUUCCCACAAUCUCCAUUCCUAACGAAUUGUCUAAUUUGACUAGGAACAACAUUGUAUCGAUAUUUAGUUCUCCAUCGAUUUGAUAAUCGAUUAAUAAUUGGUAAACAUUGAAAUUUCGUCUGCUCUUUCAACAACCGAAUAAGGACUAAGAAGCAGAAGCAACAACGUCAUCAUUUGUGUCUUUGUCAUUUCACCCGAUUUGUGAGCAAGAUGGAACAUCUGUGAGACUGUGACAGCUAAAUGGUAAUAUUCUAGUUUGCGAUAAAAUGUGCAAUGCGCCAGGAUCUAUAGCUGUUCGAGUGGGUGCCAGAAACUCAGAAUGGACCUUAAUUUUGAGCUCAUUGGUGUUUAUAAAGGGAAAUGAACCACUUGUUAAAACAGCCAUCACAUUCAUUCUAUCUGAAUUGCUUUUCCCAUUUUAUUUCUAAACCAUAGAACAGGAGGAGAAACAAAGCACCAGAAGACAUUUUACUCAAUUAAGUUCCUCUCAAUGAGUUUGACUCCUCUGAAAGAUCAAUCCUGCCAAGCAAAAUGGAGCCCGAAGAGGUUGAUUCGACUCCACACAAUUCUGGUAACUGAAUAGGGAAGAUAAAAGUUGUCUCUACUCAGGCAAUAGCAGAAACUAAAUUCACUGAACGUGGACUUCAUCAAAUUGGUGUUAGAGAAUGCUCAACUGCUCAGAAGAUCAAGACAAUGAAUUUCGAUACAGACACUGAUGUGAUGGCCGAGUCUACCACAACGGCAUUGAACCGUUGGCAUCAGUCGAGUCCCAUUCGUUCACCCUGGGACGUAGAGCAGCGAUUGAGACUAUUGUGGCGAGAGUAUUUGUCUCUGGUGGUUAGCAUGCAGCUAAAUAAAAUGGGUGACGGCGGCGGAAACCGCUCUCAACAGCCAGGAGCGCCGGAUUGCUGAGGCGAUAACAACCAUCGAGAACUCUUCAUCGUCUCUGGCUCUCGACCAUUGUGGUAACUGGAAUGUGUCACCAGUUUAUCUUCCCCCUAACAUCAUGGAAGAUGGAUUAUUCGAAAAUGUCCAUUAGAAAAAAACUAAGAAACCGUUGGGAGGAAAUACGGAUGCGUCGAACAGUGCUCCUCUUUCCCGUUGCCAGGCAACAAUUUCUCUACUGAAAAGGAGAUUGCGUUGAAUAGUAAAUUGAUGUGCGGAUGAAGACGAUUUCGUGCUAGUCGGAGAUGCAAUAGAUUUAUCUAACCGAAUGGAGUGGAUUUGGAGGAAGAUCUGUAUUUACCUGUUUUUAGUACUGUUGCAAUGUGUGACAGAUGGUUUUUCUUGACUAAAUUUUUUCUUGAAUUCAAGUUUGUACCAGUUAAAUUUAAUGGUGUAGACUGUUUUGAUUUGUGUUAACUGGUGUAAGAUAUAUUUUUGAAACCAAGUACUGGGUGAAACUGGUUUCAAUAUGGUUAAUAAGAACAUCAAUCAUUUUAUAAAUCAAGACUUCUAAACCUGUGGACCAUCUCAACAAUUACGCUAAAUAUAAGUAACUGAAAUUUCAGCUAAGUGUGAAAUAUUUAUUGUAAUACCAAUUGGAAAUACAAGUACAACGUUGAAUAACAAGAUAAA